GCAGACACACUCUGUUCCCCGCUGCUCUCUCCAGCUGUGGACUUUUUCUGUCUGCUACAUGACCACGCAGCAUGGAACUCUUCACCUGCCUGCACAAAGGCUGGUGACCGUUUGUUCUGCUACACUAGU